rnacentral:tRNA from 1 species
UCCCUGGUGGUCCAGUGGCUAAGACUCCGUACUCCCAAUGCAGGGGCCCAGGUACGACCCCUGGUCUGGGAA